rnacentral:lncRNA from 1 species
UCCAAAAAGGUUUUCCUUCAGUGUAGGUGACAAACUUACAGAAUUUACAUACAAAAAUACAUAAUAUUCUCUUCUAAUUUUAGUCAGUCAGAAAAACAGUUGAUACUGUCAUGAUAUUGAACAGAUUACUGCCUAUAUGUUACGGACAAAUUCACUUGGGGAGACUAAUUAUAGAUAAAUCAAUUAACAAGAAUUUAUUAAGCAAGCGGUAUUAAGCAAAAGAACACCGCUGGGCGGCUGGAGCCUCUGCUCUGCCACGGCGCACCUUCCCCCUUUGACCUUUUUGUUUUUAUAGUCCCCCUUUUUUUUUUUCCGGUUGAUUUAUUUUCUGUCGACGCACUCUGCGCCGGUGCAAUUGGGUGCUAGGGGGUCUUUUUUGCUGCCCUUGGUGGUCAUAGGAAUGAAGGCUCCUCAUCUUCCUUGCAGAUUGUCCUUGGCCUAGAAGUUAACUUGUAUAUGAUUAGUUACACAGUCUUCUAUGCUAGUUGCAUUCCCUACUCAGUUAAAAUUCUUAUCUCCUUUAACGCUCAUUUUGAUGAACAAAGGCCUUUUUAUUUACUACAAUCCCCCCUUUUUCUCUUUACCAAUUUGUUCAUUAAAAUGCUUUAACUCUUGGUAGCUUAAGACCAGGGUUUCAUCUACUUCUAAGUCCCUGGGCAAUGUUUCGUACCUAUCUCUAAUAAGCAUUAGAUGAGCUGCCUCUAGUCUUCCUUUUAUAAUGUCUGUGAUUUUAUUAAAAAUGUAAGGUCUGAAAGUUAAACUUAGUAACAACAAUAUUACGGGACCUGCAAUCCCCCUUAUACAGAAUUUCUCCUUGAGUGCCAAAGCCCGGAGUUUUGCACCCCUCAGGGUACCAUGAGACCUUUAAAAAUUUAUCUGGAUGGGUGACAGCUUAGGCGGUUGCUAUGGUUUUACAGCCCUAAUACUCACACAGAUAUUCCCCAGGAUAAUUACAAUGUCCCCUCCCAGGAUUGGAACUAGGACACCAAUAGGUAGCCCAGAGUUUAGGUUUACUCCAUCUCCACAUAGAGUUUACUAAAUCCUCAUUAGUAACAAAAAAAAAUGGGAGCUACAGUGGUGGCAUUAUGCUUAACAACUUUUCCUUGGUCUAUUUUGGUCAGAGUCCAAUUAAAUGGCUGGUGUGCAUAGUCCCCUUGUACAGACCCGGUACAACAUAUAACUAAUAUGCACAGAAUUUGCCAGCAAGGGUGGAGUCCAAACUGCCCCAGGAUUUGAGUAUCAUUAUCUCCCCAUUCUCAAUGUUUGUUUUGAUAUGUUAUUGCCGGGCUCACCUUUACCCUUGGGAGGUCAGUAUCCUUGAGGCAGUUCUUGAAACACCUUUGAAUUGUCCCAGUUUGAGGGCUCUUUCCUCCACCGCUUCUUAUCCCUCUGCCUCGCUCGCUGACUUGGUUGCUCCGAGCCGUGAGGCGUACCAUCUUCUCGGCAGCAAGGAUAUUCUUCAGGAGGACCCUUACUCUGCUUUUGUUGCCUCUUUUUGAAUGAUUCCCGGUUUUUAUCCUUCACUUGCAGUGAGUCACACUGAAUCCCAGGUAAAGUUUUCUGGCAAUUCCCUUUUAUAAUUUGAACAAUUAGGGGAAUUUGUUCAUUGGAGUGGAAACAACAAUUUUCAGGCCUAGCCCCCUUAGUAAACACCUCUCACCACUCUUGGGAUUCUCUUGGUAGGGUCCCGUUCUCUUCUCCAAUCCUUAGGACUGACUCUGUCAGUUCUCUUUCUAAUUGAUAACACCCUUUACAAAUACCCCCAGGAGGAGUGCCUCUAUAACUAUGGACCUACCACCGUUCCUGGCAAAUUUUACAAAUAUAGCAUACAAAAGGGUAACAAUCACAAUCCUUAUUUGUACAAUAUACUCUAAAAUCAUUAGUUAUAGGAUAUCCAUAGUCCUAUAGCUCACUAUACCAGCUGGUUUGUACAAUUCUUACUGAGUCCAUUAAGUCCACUUAAAUGUGACCUUAAGAUCCCUGGGUUGGCUGGUUAUUCUCCAGGGGUCUUCGGCAGCAGCAGGAAUCGGUCCCUUUAUUCGGCUUGCAUGUGUCCAUCCCUUCUCGGCGGUUCUGACUGCAGUUUCUCACUACUCUAUAAAACACCAGGAAGAUGGUCUCCUUAACAGUCAGGGGAAACGGAACCUUCUUUAAUAGGGAGAUAACAGAUUCAGAGGAGAAGAAGGAAAGCAAAGGCUGAAAAGCCUCAUCCCCUACUUCCCCUCUAACAAACUGGCUGUACAACCAUAACCAAGAACCAUACAUUCCAGGAACAGACCUCAGCACCUUUAUAAACCCCCUGGAAGCCAUUACACCCAAGCCCAGCUCAAUGGAUAUUCUGGUCAGUGCCCUUCUACUGCAAAAACUACGUAUUAGGGACAAUACUGGAGCUAUUCCUGGAUUAAAAAAUAAACCUAGGGACCAUAGAGGGAUUAAGAUGUCAAAAAACCCUAGGGACCAGAAACACAUACAGGCCUCCACUCUAAAAUACACUAUGAAUUCAAACAACAUAGCCAGUAACUGCUCCAUACUAACACAAAGUAAUUGGAACCAAAAUAUGAUUAGAACAGGGGUUUUUUCCACUCUCUCCAGCCACGAGAUAGGCAGCAAAAUAUUUGUCCUAGUUUAGGGCAAAUUUGGGAGAAAAACCUGUGGAAGGAGCCCCCAGAAAACAAACCCCCACGGCCCCUCCCCACCCACCUGAUUUGGGAAGAAUUUUCUCUGAGAGAAGUGGAAAAGAACCUGUUUAUUUAACAAACAAAACCCUCCCCAGCACCAAAGAAAGGAACAACACCAGAUGACAACAAAACUCUUUCACCACUCUGAAGAGAUGACAAAUCCAAAAGUCUUUCCUGAGAGUGGUCGCCCGGGUCUGGGUGCUGGGGAUUGCUCUCCAGCACUGGGGAUGUCUGCUGCAGAUCACAGAGCGCAGGCUAUCGGUAUUCCUGGGUGUUUCCCAGGUCCCAGUCCGGAGCAGGCUGGAAUGAUAUUCAGGAAAGGGAAAGGAAAAAAAGAAAAACAGUCUAGGGAAAGAAUUGGAAUGCUUAGCUAAAUAAUUUAAAAAGCAAAGGCAAAAGCAAGCAAAAAAAAAAAAAAAAAAAA